GAUGAACGCCGGCGGCGUGCCUAAUACAUGCAAGUCGAGCGAACAGACGAUGAUCUUGCUCCUCUGACGUUAGCGGCGGACGGGUGAGUAACACGUGGAUAACCUACCUAUUCGACUUGGAUAACUUCGGGAAACCGUAGCUAAUACCGGAUAAUAUAUUUAACCGCAUGGUUCAAUAGUUUAAUCCGUUUUUGCUGUCCCUUAUAGAUGGAUCCGCGCCGCAUUAGCUAGUUGGUAAGGUAACGGCUUCCCAAGGCAACGAUGCGUAGCCGACCUGAGAGGGUGAAGGGGCACACUGGAACUGAGCCACGGUACAGACUCCUAGGGGAGGCAGAAGUAGGGAAGCGACCGAAAUGGGCGAAAGACUGAAGGAGCAACGCAGCGUGAGUGAUGAAGGGCUGCGGAUCGUAAAACUCUGUUAUGAGGGAAGAACAAAUGUGUAAGGAACGAUGCACGUCGUGACGGUACCUAAUCAGAAAGCCACGGCUAACUACGUG
rnacentral:rRNA from 1 species